UCUUACCCACAGUACACAGUCUGGAAGC
rnacentral:piRNA from 1 species